rnacentral:lncRNA from 11 species
AGGUUUACCUGUAUUUAAGUAUUGAGGGGAUAACGCAGCUCAUUUGUAAAAUAUUUAGCUUGAAGCAGUGAUCUUACCGUGGGCAAAACGCCACUAUCAUAAAGCUAAACAAGGCAAUCUUAUUAGGGUAAGUCGUUGAAGGUUGAACGUUUCGAUUCAUUCCUAAAUGUUGAACACUCAUCAAGAAAAGCAUGAGCUGGUAAACAUCCAGCGAGAAAUUAAACCGUUGCAUAAGAGGCGACAUGCCCUAUAUCGCAUUUAAAAACACGUAUGCUGGUAUUGAAAACAGAAACAAAGUAAAGCAAAGUAUUGCCCACAUACCCAACACAAUACAGGUUACGAUGCUGAAACCAAGUCCGUCACAAAAACAAAUACUAUGCUAAAAGAUAAGACAACGCGCAUAUGAACCGUUAUCAGCAAUGUAAACAAAGUGAAUGCCUAAGUGAUGUGAAGAAUGAAACAGAAAAAUCCCCAUACACACUGUACCGUAAGUAAAGUAGGUAAUCAGCUGGUGUUUUGAUGUGCCGUGAAAUUGCGUCUUCCCACACAGUUCCAGUAUCAAUCAAGCAACCACCUGCUAAAGCGGGACUGGCCGUCUACUCGGUUUGUCAGAUGUAAUCAAUUAUUGGUCACCUUUCAUUCAGCUCUGUGUCUGGUGUUACCCGUCUUCGCCGCGUACGAAACUACCUUCAAACGACACAGUUGACCAAGUUAACCCGCGAACCCCCAAUAAGGAAGACAGUCAAUGGUGUAAGAGUCCUCAGCCUGUUGUUACCUGUCUGCUCCGGUAACUGAAUGUACCGCCCUCCGGAACGCCACUCUAUUGUGCCACCGCCACGUUAUGCCCAAAGGGGGUUUUUAUGCAACUUUUAUAUGCCACAGAUUUUCUCCAAUACGUACACCGUUCGCGCUGUUCAUUGAUCGCAAAACGAUCGAUCGGUGGUUGAUCGAUCGGCGGCCGCGUAAUUCAAUUAUUCACCCAUAUUCGGUAAACUAAUGACCUGCUAUCGACGACGACGCCGAUUUCGACGAAUUUGGCUGCAGAGCCGGGGAGAGCAAGCUGCGUCACACAAAGUUGUCGUCGGUCUGGUAGAUAGCUGUAGUCGUCGAACAGCAAAAGCCAGUCUCACUGACGAAGACGGACGGUAAUAAGUAAGGAGCUCGUGUUUACGAGGCAACGGAUAUACAUACUUAGCUUGCAGCAUGGGUGAAGUGAUCAAAUCUUGCUAUUACUGUUGCUGCACCUGUUACCAGUCGGGUCUUUGCUGUGCAAGCUUGUGCUGCGUACUUCUACCGAUAAUCGGCCUACUUUUGGUGCUGACCGGCAUCGUCGUUGCCGUAAUGCUCGCCUUCUCCGUUGGGAACCAAAGCCCAAGUGAAUACACAAUCAGCCGUCUGUUGACGACGCUGACGAGCAACUCCACCAGUGGAUCCGGACCCCAUGGCGAUUAGUCAUUUCGUUUUGUGUUUUCUGAAAACAUUAUGCUAAGAUUUGUUUAUAGCUGGUAUUUAUUGAAUUUAGGUUUAGAUUAGCCAUAUUUGUGUGAGCGUAGAAUAAUCUGUACAUGAGUAGGAACCUACAUAAACUAUCGCCCCGUCAACCCGUCUGGGGCCAAAUGUCA